AUUGAACGCUGGCGGCAGGCUUAACACAUGCAAGUCGAGCGGGGGAAGGUAGCUUGCUACCGGACCUAGCGGCGGACGGGUGAGUAAUGCUUAGGAAUCUGCCUAUUAGUGGGGGACAACAUCUCGAAAGGGAUGCUAAUACCGCAUACGUCCUACGGGAGAAAGCAGGGGAUCUUCGGACCUUGCGCUAAUAGAUGAGCCUAAGUCGGAUUAGCUAGUUGGUGGGGUAAAGGCCUACCAAGGCGACGAUCUGUAGCGGGUCUGAGAGGAUGAUCCGCCACACUGGGACAGGGAGACGGCCCAGACUCCUACGGGAGGCAGCAGUGGGGAAUAUUGGACAAUGGGGGGAACCCUGAUCCAGCCAUGCCGCGUGUGUGAAGAAGGCCUUAUGGUUGUAAAGCACUUUAAGCGAGGAGGAGGCUACUUUAGUUAAUACCUAGAGAUAGUGGACGUUACUCGCAGAAUAAGCACCGGCUAACUCUGUGCCAGCCGCCGCGGUAA
rnacentral:rRNA from 1 species